AUUUUAAGUGGUCUAAAAGGCAUACUUUCUUGUAAUUGUUGGGAUUUGCAAUAGAGAACUGAGAACCCCAUUUCUUACCGCACAUGCCAUAAUGCCAUUGAGUUAUGCUUCAAACCUUCUUGUAUGUUCUCUUCAUUUUCAAUUUUCUUUUCCCAGUUCUAAUUGAGAGGAAAUGAUGAUGUUUGUUCAGUCAAGUCUGCCCAACUGAGAUGUUCAUGAUAAAAAAAUGUGUUACUUUGAUUUCAUCACCAAUUGUGAUGUGGCAUGAAGAGGUUAGAAUUGAUCAAACUGGAAUCUUGACCUUUUCACUCAUUCUUAAUAGUUACACUUUACCCACCCUUCUUAAGUCCUGAGCAUACAUAGGGCCAUCAUGUCCAUCUGCAGAAGCAUUUAUUUAAGGAAGAUGAUCAUUGGAGUGCGAGGUCCACAGCAAUAAAAUCAGUUUGAAUGAACACUCAUUCUUUUGACUUGAUAAUGCAGGAGAUGUACAUUACAGGGGUAGAGAUUGCAAAGGCACAUGUUUAUUAGCAUGAGCCAUGUAUUCAUCCCAUGCAUUCCAUGCAAAUCAAGGUGCACAGCUUGCA